rnacentral:rRNA from 1 species
UACGGAGGGUCCAAGCGUUAUCCGGAAUCAUUGGGUUUAAAGGGUCCGUAGGCGGUUUUGUAAGUCAGUGGUGAAAGCCCAUCGCUCAACGGUGGAACGGCCAUUGAUACUGCAAGACUUGAAUUAUUGGGAAGUAACUAGAAUAUGUAGUGUAGCGGUGAAAUGCUUAGAGAUUACAUGGAAUACCAAUUGCGAAGGCAGGUUACUACCAAUAUAAUUGACGCUGAUGGACGAAA